CUUUGUUCAGCACGAAAUGAAAAGCCCACUGCCAGCGAUGAUGUGGAACAUUCAGAAUAUUCUUCAAUAUACCAAAGGGAAAAUGUAGAGGCCUUUGGUGCUGUAUGAAAAAUAUUUGGAAGAAAUGAUGGAAUAACCUUCUCUUAACGACUGAAUCAAUGAGCGUCAGGUCCAUUCACCUAUCUUCCGUGUACCUAUUUCUGAAUGCUCACUAAAAAUGUCCAUGUGUCUUCAUCAUGGGCCGGAAAUAAAGCAAAACAAAACUUGCUGUACAUCACACAUUGGAGGCACCAGCUGAGGAAGUGAGCGGCAGGGGUCCCAGCUCCUGAAGGUUGGCACCACUUCCCACCUCUGCUCCUUCUUCAGAACGACCUAACACUUGCUCAGCAAAUCUGUCUGGAACGAGCAAGUAACACAUGAGCACAUUCCACUCUCAAGGAUUUUUAUAAACUUGUCACGAUGAAGGUCAAGAUGAUAUCGUGUAACAUUGCAGAGAUGAUCUGACAAAAUAUUGUGAUGCUCCAGUUAUUUUAGGGAAGGGAAGAAUGCGAAAACAAGCUAUUAGAUCUUUUUUUGGCUUGGCUCAAUCUUCAGAAAAAUUUGAAUUUCCUUUCCUGGAAUCUCUGUUCUAAUGCAUCUUAAGAGGAGAAAUGUGCUUGCCGAAAACCAGACGGAAAACAAGAUGAAAAGCCUGUGUUGGAAUCCACAACAUCUCUGCUAAGAACUCUGAUUUCCUUUCUCAAUGAAGUCCUACCUACACUUACCUGAAGCCACAAAAUGAAGAAUUUUGUCAACUUUAUAUGGG
rnacentral:lncRNA from 1 species